ACGGCUCUGAGGUACAUAAAUUUGGAUUACCUUCUACACUGUCAUCAAAUAUGCUUUGUUAAUAUUAAACUAAAUUUUUUUCAUGGACAUAAAUGCUAUAUGUAUAUAGAAGAAUGCAAGUUCAUGUUUUCCCUUAUAAUGGACCUUAAUGUAAGUGAACCGUUCAUCUUUUUUUUUAUAAGGUCAGGUGGAAGAGACCCUGAGAGAUUGUUGUUCUCCAAGUUUCUACAAAGAGAAAGAAGAAUGGUUCAAUUUCUAUAUUAAAGUUAAUUUGUGCUUCACUUUUCGUUCUAGGACAACUUACAGGUUUUUGAGGUGUAACAACUGGGACAGAAAUUUAGCAUUGGUAGACUGAAUAUGUACAGAGAUAUCUCACCCUUCAAUCCGUUCGAAGACAAGUUCCUGUUGCAGCAGUUUUCAUGACUACGGCCGGAGUUUCGUCAAGAUUAUCAGCAGCUACAGAAUCUAAGGUACUUAGUUGUGCAUAGUUAUUAUCUUGGUACGCUUCCCACACUCGAUCAUAAACAUCAUCGGGAAACCUAUAGAAGAAACUCACAAUAUUUUACACAAAUGAGUACUUUUCACUCGUAAGCAUGUUUGGGAGUGAUUUUGAAACGGUUAAAAUCACUUUUGUCAGGUUCAAAAGUUGUCUUUAAUCAUUCAAAACUCAAUUUAAACGCAAUUUCCAUAUCAAAAAUGGAUUUCAAAUGAAUAAAGGCAUUUUUAUAGUGAUUUUAACCAUUUCAAUAUCACUCCCAAACAUAUUACUAUUUGGGACAAUCAAC